UUACCCAUCGUGAUGUGGUUAUUACAAUCAUAAUUACUUGAUUGACAGGGCAAUAUUUUAUUGCCCUUUUGUUUUU
rnacentral:sRNA from 1 species